AGUGGUCAAGCUAAUAAG
rnacentral:rRNA from 1 species